UACGUAGGUGCCAAGCGUUGUUCCGGAAUUAUUGGGCGUAAAGGGUGCGUAGGCGGCGCGGUAAGUCGGGUGUGAAAUCUCGGAGCUUAACUCCGAAACUGCAUUCGAUACUGCCGUGCUUGAGGACUGGAGAGGAGACUGGAAUUUACGGUGUAGCGGUGAAAUGCGUAGAUAUCGUAAGGAAGACCAGUGGCGAAGGCGGGUCUCUGGGCCAUAACUGACGCUGAGAAGCGAAAGCAUGGGGAGCGAACAGG
rnacentral:rRNA from 1 species